UUUCUUCUUUCUGUUUUUUGGUGCAAUAGUUCUAAGGUCUUUCACCAGAGAAGUAAACUGGUGGAUAUGGAAUAUCAGUGUUAUCCCUUUAUCAAUGUUGUCAGCUAAAAGUCACCAAAAUAAGGGAAAAGGAAAAACAACAUUCAUUUCUCAAAGGUAAGAAUUUAGUCCAACAAAAAAGUCAACUCUCUCAGUCGAAAAGGAGAUAAGUCAGGUAAAAUUCCUUCAAACAGACUGAAGUCGCAAACCUCCCAUUGACAUCUAAGAAUUUUAGAAUUCCUUUCUCCGAUUUCCUACCAACUGGCAUCAAGAAUGAUUCCUCUAGCAUUCUAGACCAAGUCAAGAACAAAAUCUUAAUUAUAUGCAAAUGAGAGUUGCUUGGACUAAGAAAUAAGACUGCAUUGGGAUCUUAUAAGCUUCAUAUAUCACACACAUAUGCAGACCUGCUUGACCAAAUUCCAAAAAAUUGACCAAGAUCACGAUCCUGAUGUAUAAUUUGAUUAGGUCUUAGCCAAGCCUAAGACAACAAGUGAUCUAUUUAUGUUCUUAAAACAAAACUUGCCUUUAUAUACAUCAAACAGAUAAUAUAUAUGUUGGUGUCUAUAGUAGAUUAAGUAGUGUAGAUAAUUGUUGGGAUGCCCCUUCAUGCUGUUGCAUGUUUGUCUCCUGAAAGAAAAUUUACUUAUGAAGGCCACAAAGACUCAGCUAUGCUAUGUACAUUAUGCAGCUGAAUUUGGAGCACCAAAGAUACACCAAUCAUAGGAAUAGCAGUUGCCAACAUGAAUCCAUUAACCAUCUGAAAACAUACCCAAAAAGAGAAGGCAGGGUGUUAAAGCCAAAAGAUUCAAAUUAUUCUGAAACCAACUUCUUCACUCGUGAACUGGCUUCAAGUUGGAUUCGUACAAGCUUAGGUUAAUAUGGGCCCGUGGACAGAGAAAGCAAAGGGGGAGGGCGGCUGCUACGGUGCUACCCUCAAUCUCCAGAGCCAACAAGCCCUCCUUUGAGGCAUCUCCUCUUGUUCCUACACUUCUUGGCUUUGGCCCUAUUAUUGCCAAAAUCAUGAAGAAACGGGGUUUAAUUUUAUUUAUAUUAUAAACCAGUAUUUAGCACAUGCACUGACAUGAAACGGAUAUACGAUCUAUAAUAUCUCGCCAUUAUAUAACUUCUAAAAUUGUAUACGAAGAAAAUCUCUCUCUCUCGUGAUGGGUUUCAUCCAUUGAUGCUUUGAUAAAACCAUUAACAUAAAGAAGAAUCAGCAGUCAAUAAAAAGAAAUAAAUAAAACAAGCAUUCUUUCCCAAAAAAUCAUUGCAUACCUUAAAUUGGGUGUGGGGAUUGCCAAGUCGUUGCAGCAGCUGCUUCAUCCUCCCAAGAUCAAAAUCAUCAUCAGUAUCCGUUCCAGUCCCUUUAAGCACACCAAUCGCUCAUGAUUCUUGAGCUUCUCCAUGUAAUCCAAGAAAUCGGCCGAGCAGCGGAUCCUCCAACCUUGCUGACCGCAUCCUCGAUCAUCCCACUCAUAUGGCAAAACGGGAAAAUCGAUCUUGCAAGGCAUUGCAUCCCUCUUUUCACUGCAUCAAAACUAAUAAAGAAAUUCUUAUCGUAAUCAAAAGAAACCAAAAGUGGCUGUCCCGAUCAAGAACUCGAACAAUGGGUUUCUUGGAUAAUUUAGAAAUUUGAAUGGCAUCCAAUGGAGACAAUAAAACUCAAGAAAAGAUCGGUAAAAACAACGAUAAUCCAAAAAAAAAAAAAGAAAAAAAAUGGGCAUCGAAGAGAAGAAAGAGAGACAAACACGCGCAAACCUCCUCAUCUCCACCACGAUUGCUCUCUCACUCUAUCUUGGAACGCCUUCUGCCUCGUCUUCUCAAUUCUACGGGAGAAUUUCGUGGUUGGGAUGGGAAACGGAGGAAAACGGAGAGGAGGAACAGGGGUUAGCAGUGAAGGGACUCCGGGUCGGUUUUAUAAGAAAAGAAUGCAGGUUUAAAAUUCACGCGGCCCGCUAAUGAUCUCGGGUCAGUCGGGUCGGCCCGAUCAAGCAGC
rnacentral:lncRNA from 1 species